rnacentral:tRNA from 1 species
ACAGCCCUAUAAACACA